rnacentral:rRNA from 1 species
UAAGUAGUAAAAAGUAGAAUAAUAGAUUUGAAAUAUUUAUUAUAUAGAUUUAAAGAGAUAAUCAUGGAGUAUAAUAAUUAAAUUUAAUAAAUUUAAUAUAACUAUUAAUAGAAUUAGGUUACUAAUAAAUUAAUAACAAUUAAUUUUAAAACCUAAAGGUAAACCUUUAUAUUAAUAAUGUUUUUUUUUAUUAUAUUUAUAAUAAGAAUAAUUAUUAAUAAUAAUAAACUAAGUGAACUGAAACAUCUAAGUAACUUAAGGAUAAGAAAUCAACAGAGAUAUUAUGAGUAUUGGUGAGAGAAAAUAAUAAAGGUCUAAUAAGUAUUAUGUGAAAAAAAUGUAAGAAAAUAGGAUAACAAAUUCUAAGACUAAAUACUAUUAAUAAGUAUAGUAAGUACCGUAAGGGAAAGUAUGAAAAUGAUUAUUUUAUAAGCAAUCAUGAAUAUAUUAUAUUAUAUUAAUGAUGUACCUUUUGUAUAAUGGGUCAGCAAGUAAUUAAUAUUAGUAAAACAAUAAGUUAUAAAUAAAUAGAAUAAUAUAUAUAUAUAUAAAAAUAUAUUAAAAUAUUUAAUUAAUAUUAAUUGACCCGAAAGCAAACGAUCUAACUAUGAUAAGAUGGAUAAACGAUCGAACAGGUUGAUGUUGCAAUAUCAUCUGAUUAAUUGUGGUUAGUAGUGAAAGACAAAUCUGGUUUGCAGAUAGCUGGUUUUCUAUGAAAUAUAUGUAAGUAUAGCCUUUAUAAAUAAUAAUUAUUAUAUAAUAUUAUAUUAAUAUUAUAUAAAGAAUGGUACAGCAAUUAAUAUAUAUUAGGGAACUAUUAAAGUUUUAUUAAUAAUAUUAAAUCUCGAAAUAUUUAAUUAUAUAUAAUAAAGAGUCAGAUUAUGUGCGAUAAGGUAAAUAAUCUAAAGGGAAACAGCCCAGAUUAAGAUAUAAAGUUCCUAAUAAAUAAUAAGUGAAAUAAAUAUUAAAAUAUUAUAAUAUAAUCAGUUAAUGGGUUUGACAAUAACCAUUUUUUAAUGAACAUGUAACAAUGCACUGAUUUAUAAUAAAUAAAAAAAAUAAUAUUUAAAAUCAAAUAUAUAUAUAUUUGUUAAUAGAUAAUAUACGGAUCUUAAUAAUAAGAAUUAUUUAAUUCCUAAUAUGGAAUAUUAUAUUUUUAUAAUAAAAAUAUAAAUACUGAAUAUCUAAAUAUUAUUAUUACUUUUUUUUUAAUAAUAAUAAUAUGGUAAUAGAACAUUUAAUGAUAAUAUAUAUUAGUUAUUAAUUAAUAUAUGUAUUAAUUAAAUAGAGAAUGCUGACAUGAGUAACGAAAAAAAGGUAUAAACCUUUUCACCUAAAACAUAAGGUUUAACUAUAAAAGUACGGCCCCUAAUUAAAUUAAUAAGAAUAUAAAUAUAUUUAAGAUGGGAUAAUCUAUAUUAAUAAAAAUUUAUCUUAAAAUAUAUAUAUUAUUAAUAAUUAUAUUAAUUAAUUAAUAAUAUAUAUAAUUAUAUUAUAUAUUAUAUUUUUAUAUAUAAUAUAUAUAAUAUAAACUAAUAAAGAUCAGGAAAUAAUUAAUGUAUACCGUAAUGUAGACCGACUCAGGUAUGUAAGUAGAGAAUAUGAAGGUGAAUUAGAUAAUUAAAGGGAAGGAACUCGGCAAAGAUAGCUCAUAAGUUAGUCAAUAAAGAGUAAUAAGAACAAAGUUGUACAACUGUUUACUAAAAACACCGCACUUUGCAGAAACGAUAAGUUUAAGUAUAAGGUGUGAACUCUGCUCCAUGCUUAAUAUAUAAAUAAAAUUAUUUAACGAUAAUUUUAUUAAAUUUAGGUAAAUAGCAGCCUUAUUAUGAGGGUUAUAAUGUAGCGAAAUUCCUUGGCCUAUAAUUGAGGUCCCGCAUGAAUGACGUAAUGAUACAACAACUGUCUCCCCUUUAAGCUAAGUGAAAUUGAAAUCGUAGUGAAGAUGCUAUGUACCUUCAGCAAGACGGAAAGACCCUAUGCAGCUUUACUGUAAUUAGAUAGAUCGAAUUAUUGUUUAUUAUAUUCAGCAUAUUAAGUAAUCCUAUUAUUAGGUAAUCGUUUAGAUAUUAAUGAGAUACUUAUUAUAAUAUAAUGAUAAUUCUAAUCUUAUAAAUAAUUAUUAUUAUUAUUAUUAAUAAUAAUAAUAAUAUGCUUUCAAGCAUAGUGAUAAAACAUAUUUAUAUGAUAAUCACUUUACUUAAUAGAUAUAAUUCUUAAGUAAUAUAUAAUAUAUAUUAUAUAUAUAUUAUAUAUAAUAUAAGAGACAAUCUCUAAUUGGUAGUUUUGAUGGGGCGUCAUUAUCAGCAAAAGUAUCUGAAUAAGUCCAUAAAUAAAUAUAUAAAAUUAUUGAAUAAAAAAAUAAUAUAUAUUAUAUAUAUUAAUUAUAAAUUGAAAUAUGUUUAUAUAAAUUUAUAUUUAUUGAAUAUAUUUUAGUAAUAGAUAAAAAUAUGUACAGUAAAAUUGUAAGGAAAACAAUAAUAACUUUCUCCUCUCUCGGUGGGGGUUCACACCUAUUUUUAAUAGGUGUUCACCCCUCUUCGGGGUUCCGGUUCCCUUUCGGGUCCCGGAACUUAAAAAUAAUUAUGGAAAGAAUUAAAUUAAUAUAAUGGUAUAACUGUGCGAUAAUUGUAACACAAACGAGUGAAACAAGUACGUAAGUAUGGCAUAAUGAACAAAUAACACUGAUUGUAAAGGUUAUUGAUAACGAAUAAAAGUUACGCUAGGGAUAACAGGGUAAUAUAACGAAAGAGUAGAUAUUGUAAGUUAUGUUUGCCACCUCGAUGUCGACUCAACAUUUCCUCUUGGUUGUAAAAGCUAAGAAGGGUUUGACUGU